rfam:Gossypium raimondii Chr07_contig_1346, whole genome shotgun sequence.
UAUUAAAAAUUUAAUCUAUUUCUAUUGUUAAAAAUUGACGUGGUUAAUAGAAUAAUCAAACAAUUACACGUGUUGUGUUACAUGUACCUCAUUAUGAUGUAUAGGGACCAAAUUUUAGCAGUAGAAAUAGAUGAUCUUUUUAACA